UUUGUGUUUGAGGUAUUCUGAUUGUUUAGCAUGUCCAUUUUAUUCUUUGGAUUAUUUAUUGUUCAUACUUAUCUUAGCAACUUAUGGACACUUUCAAAAGUGAGUUUUCUGCUGCACAUAUUUUGUAAAUUUUGAAAAAUUUAACUCAACCCCCCCCCCCCCAAAAAAAAAAAAACAAAGGAAUUAUUGAGAAUUAUCCAAGGAAGCAUGAUUUGGUAUAAUAGUGCGUCAAUAUUUGAACAUACAAUUUAACUUAGGUUGCUACAUUAAACUAAUGGCCUAAACUUUAGCCUAUGCACACAGAUAUAUCUACCAAUUUGUAAGGUAGAUAGUAUCACUCUAAUACUUUUUUUUUUUAAAUCUCUAAAUACCUCACAGCCAUCAUAUUGAGAGAAAUGCUGCAGUUUGAGGAAGCAUGGAGCAGGAAGAAUAUUCUUUUUGACAAAAAAAUCUGUAAACAUUAGAUUCCAAUUUUGAUUAUUUUAUGAAUAAUAAUUUUAAGAUUAAAAAUAUUUUACUAUUUAAUUAUUAUAGAUUGGAUUUAUAUUAAAAUUUAUUAUUUUUUUAAGUUCAAGUCUUCCUAGAACUUUAGCAUUAUUUUUUAUAUAUUUAUUUAUUUUAAAUAAAGGAUCCAUGUAUUGCACAUGCCACAUUGUAAUUAGAAUCGGAGAUAUUAGAACUAAGAUUUUUCGCAUGCCUUUCAUAUUGGAUUGGGGAAGCAUAGUAUGGAGAGUAUUAUUUUUUGACAAAAAAUCUAAAAGCCUCGGAUUCUAAUUUUGAUUAUUUUAAUUAAGAUAGUUUUCAGAUUAAGAUAUUUUAUUAUUUAAUCAUUAUAUAUCAUGUUUGUAUUAGAAAUAUCAUAACUAUUUUAUUACAUUUGUCUAUCAAAAAUUUAAGUCCUACAAGAAAACUUCUCUAACUUUUUUUUUGCAUUAUUAAUAUCCAGAGCAACAAAUUUUGUACUAUUUUCUAUAAGAGUUCGAGUCGAGUGAAUUUGAGGAAUUGCUUCCUUCUUCUCUCUUUAUUCGAAUCAUAGAAUAGCAAUACCACUAAAAUUCUCUUACCAAGAAUUCCAUUCAUGGAAUUGUGCCACCCAUUCUCGAGCUCUCAAUCCCACCACCCAAACAGGGGCUAUAGGGGAAGGAACUGAGAAAUUGGAUUUUAUGGGAUGAGAGUGGUUUAGCUCUGUUGCCAAAUGGAAACUGAAUAAUGCUUAGAACCCUCCUACAAUACAUUGCAUACUUUUGAGAUUUAUGCCCAUCUUUUUUAUUGUUUUUUUUUUUUUUUUUGUCUGAAAGCGGAUGUUUCAUAUAGUGCGUAUACGGAUACACCUAAAAAAGUCAAAAUACAACAAUUCGCAGAGUGCUAGUGGCAGCUCUCCCUCCCCUGACCAAAGAUUGUACCCUGAGUGGUGGGCCGCUAUCCAGUCGGCCGCCCCAUUGGCUUUUCUAAAUACAUGCUUGGCCUGAAAGACCCUCCCAUCUGUCAUCAUCAUCCCUAUGUUACGGAUUAAGGGGUGGUCUGUGCCGUCACCCCUCGACCCCCUCUAAAUCCACCCGAUAACCGUAGCCAUCUUUAUGUAUUCAAUGAUGCAUUUGGAAAGCAUUUCAAAUCUCAAAGGCCACCAUGUAUUAAAUUUUCAGCGAGAAGUCUAUCUUUGGAUCGUUAUCAUUAUCAUCACCUUUAAAUAAGCACCCCUAAACUAGUGGAGAUCAUGCUCAAAUAGGCACGGUUUCUCCGAUGGAUUUUGCUGUCAAUAUGCGAGCAUGGCAAUACGGGAGGCCGGCUUAAGUUGGCAUGAUUAGAACUAGAACACAUGAUUUAUCUCAGUAAGCGACUAAUGAGGUUUUUUUGGUUCAAUAAGAGUGACUAAAGCAUGGUUCCGCAAUGACAGAUCAUAGACAUGAUAUGGGUGUUACUAAUCAUGGUUCGGCACAGUUCGAGUACAGCACCAAAAAUUUCUGCUGUGGUUUAUUCCAACUCCAUAGCGACAUGUUUGGCGUUCAGAAACAAUUUGGAUAUUUCAAAUUGAGAACAAAAAUAUAACUUCAUCAAAAGUUUGAAAAACUCAAAUAAUUAUAUAUAUAAAAAAGAAAAUAAUGGACAUUAGAUUUUUAAAAAAUUGGCAUAUUUACUCAUGAAAAUUAGCAUAAAAAUGAAGAAUAAAUCCAUGUCCACCUCAUGAUUGAAUAGAUCUGAACGGAUUUGUUUAUUGAGAAUAUUUCAAAGAAUCAUUUGGAGAAGGAAAAGCUUGAAAAAAGCUGGGUCUUUUCGGCCACUCAAGAGAAUAUUGCUUCUGUUGUCCAUUCCUAUCCUGAGUUACCCAUAAUUCUCAUGUUACUUGCCACAUGGUUGGCUCAGACAAGAUUUCAUCGCCUACAUAAAGAGUUCUUUGAUAUACUUAGGAACAUAUGUUGCCCCAAAUAAGUAAUAGAGAGAGAAAAAGAGAGAAGCUAAGACAAGGGAGAGGCAUCAAAUCAAUAAUGGUCAGACAACCAUCUGCAAGUUCCUUCUGUAAUAUAGUGGAGAGAUCCACAGAGUUGCAAGGAAAAAGGAAGCAUGGAGAUCCCAAAUUUCAAUGUGCAACAGAAAAUAGUCAACAACAAUAUGAAGCCACUGUUUUGUUUGUUUCUUGAAUUUGUUUUAUUUAGUCUUUUAAUACUGCACCCUCACUGUUAUAUAUACAAGUAACAGAAUUAGAACAAACUCCAAUGGAGGAAAAAAAAAGAAAAAAAAGAGAAGAAAAGUAUAUAAUGCACACAGCUCCAUUGAGUUAACAGCUCCCAAGUGCUUCCAAAAUGCUAAAAAAGGAUUGGCAGAGAUCACUGGAGCUGUUAAAAACUGGGAGGAAAAACACUUCUAGUUAAGUACCUUUUCUUGGAUCAUCAACAUAUCCAUCCACAGGUCGUAUGAGUUAUUAUACCGGGUAAUGUUUAUCUAACACCAGUAAAAAAGGACCCAUAUCAUUCACCUUUAUUUUUUUCUGGUUUCACUAAUUUCUUCUCGCAAAGACAACCUUUGGGCUUGCCUGAAGCUGAAGAAGGCAAUCAUGCACUGUGGGCUUGGAGUUGUUCUCAAAAUCAGGCUUAAGUCUCAUCUGCAAUGUAAACAUUUAUUUAUGUUUGAUGAGUUUAACAAAUACAGUACAACUUUGCCAAAGUUGAAUAUGAUAUUGUAAUUCAUUACAAGGUAUGAUUUUAGCCGAUGGAAAGAACUAGUUGAAUGUAAAAAGAAAUUAUUCGUGAAUCACCUCUUGAUCUCAAGUCCCCUUUUUUUACAGCUAAAGGUACUCAGCAACAUGUCAUGCGCUAAUUAACUUAAAGAGGAGUAUUUUCAAUCAGGUAAACAACAAAAGCCAAUUAUGCCUCAUGCUCUUUUAAGCAUCGAUUUCAUGCCACAUGCAUAAAUAAUCAAACAUGUUAUGCAUUUCUACAUAUAAACACACCAAAAUGACGAAAAAACGCUAGUUGCAGCAUGCAAUUAUCAAAAGAAAGAAAAGAAAGAUUACUAACACAUGGUAUAUAUGAAACAUAGUUUGUUUUUGAUUUUGAACUGAUAACAUUACAAAUCUGUACCGAUUUCGGUCACAAUACAUGCAGUGCUUGUUGCUGCAAAAAAAGAAUUAAAAAAUGCAUUGAUGUAUGUAAUCCAUUCUUUGUUAUUAAAAUCUGAGAUGUCCCUCCAAAAAUUAAUCUAAAAUCACAAGCAAAGUUUCAAAUAUCGUGCAAUUUGGUCACGUACUGCUUGCUGGCAGGUACAGAGUGUUAGGUGAGGACCCAAUGACGACUUAGUUUUUCACUCUCGAACUCAAGUCGAAUAAAUCUAGACAUAUGUCGGACGACGGGGUUUGACGAGUUAUCCAUGACCUCCGGUCUGUAGGAAUCCAUGAUAGAAAUACUGUAUCAUACGAUAACUGCACCUACAGGUUCAUCAUUCUACUCUGCUGGGUAGCCACUACAUACUGCUAGGUGUCACUGGUGGAUGGUGAGACUCACAGGGACCAUUCUGAUGGUCGAUGAUCCCUGGUGAAAUCACAAAGGGGAUAAAGAUGAGCUCCUAUUUUGAAUUCACAAAGGGAUAAAGAUGAGCUCCUAAAAUUUAGGAGCUCAUCUCUAUCCCCACACCAUAAAAGAGGGGUUCAAAGGGGCUACGAAUUUUUCAUGGUUUUUCCUUGGGAUUUUUGGCAGCAAGGAACCUCCUUCCAUCCCUCCUUUCAGCCACAAGAAAGCAAGAAAAAAAGGCUUGUGGCGUGGCCCUUCUUCCUUCCAUUCUUUGGUUCCAACGCGAAGGGAAAAAUGAAAGACUGCGGGUUUUACAUUCUUCUUCCUACAUCCCUCCUUCUUCCUCCUCUCAAGGUAAUCAAAAGUUGAUUCAAAGGAGAGGAUAUCAGCCAUCAAAAGCUAUCUCUGCAAGGGAGCUAGCACCCCGGGAAGAUCCAAAAGCUUCAAUUGGUGCUAUACCUCGUGUGGAUACCUGUAGAGGCCGGAUGCGUGUGCGGCUUCCAUCGAACCUUCAACAAAUCCACGUAAAUCAGAUUUGCAGAGACCAUCUACCCGCACAAGAUGAAGAUCUGAUCUUCUUAAUGAUUUUAAAAUGGUUUAUAAGAAUUUAAUCCUAAUCUAUCUACAAACGACGGUUUUAAAAUACGUUCAUGCGAUGAACGGGAUCGCACAUGCCCUUCCGCUGCACAUCUAAAAAUUUUUGAAAUUUUUCUGCGGCAUGCAUCAGAUCCUAACAGUGGUAUCAGAGCCAGGUUAUGUAGAUUAAGAUUGGAAUUAAAUUUUUAAAGGCAUUUUAAAUCUAAAAUUUAAAGAAUUAUGCUUGCUGAAAUUUUCUGCAUACAGAAUUUUCAGCUUGCUGAUUUUUCUGCAUGCUAAUUUUUGAAUGCUUAGAUUAAUGAUUCUAAUGCUUUGGUAAUGUGAUUACAAAUAUUUAGAAUCAUAUCUUGCAUAAUCAGCAAGUCAUAAGAUGAAAUAAUCAGUUAAAUUACAGAUCUGAAAAUAAUAUUUAUGCAUGAGAUGCGUAUGGUGAUGAUCAUGGAUGGACCCUUUUGAAUGUGCUGAAAUAUUCUGCGAUAUUCUGUGAUGCUAUGUGAUGGCAUGUAAUUUUAAUUUUCAGAUGCCUGCGUGCAUCUUAAAUUCAUGUAUUAAAGACCUGCGUGUCUCAUGAAAAAGGGUUGUAAUUUAUUCUUUUAUUUUAUUUAAUUUUUAAAGCAAUCUGGGAUGUAAUCUGUGAUGUGUGUUGCACGUCGAUGGUUGAUCGAUAUGUACAUUAACAAGCUUAACAUGCACGGAUCGAAAUCAAGGGUUGAUUGAAGAUGGAUCAAGGAGUUGAUCACAAUUGGACCUAGGGAUCAAGAUCAAGUCAAAAGUUGAAGAUGAUCAAACCAAUUGACGUGCAUGUGAUUGUAAAAUGACCCCAUCCUGGAUCCAUGAUCAUCACCAUUUAAAUUUAUUUGUUGAUAAAUGCCUGGAUGUUUAAUGCUUAUGUCUAUACGGGUAGAUAUAUAUUUGCAUGAGAUGUGAAUAGUCGAUCGAGAGAGACCUAAAUACAAACCUUCUCAAUCAGUCAAGAGUGAACCAACAUGAGCUAGUCAUAUUAGAUUAAUUGAUCUAAUUGGUGUCUAGGCAGCUUAAAAGGUGGUUACUUAAUUAGGACCUUACUCUUCGAGUAAGGGGAACCUCCCACCUGCUUACCUGGCCAAUUGUUCCAUGCGAAACCAAUCACCGGCUAGUACAACCUCCGAUACCAAUUCGGAGAACCUUAAUUCUUGGAUAUUGCUAAAAGAAUGAUCUAUAUGUGUCCGUUUUUAAAAUUUAAAUAUGUUUUUUUUGAAUCCAUACUAACUAAAUAGUUAAUAGCACCAAGCUCCAUAAAAUAUGCAUAGAAGAGUAUAUUAGAACAAUAGUAAUUAUGCCAUCUUUAAGUGAAGCAUUAAAGUCGAUUUUAGAAGAAUUUGACAAACAUAACACAGAUCACCAACCUCAUAGUUUUGAAGUAAAUAUGCAAGCAAUGCUGAUAUUCCAUGAAUUGCAAACUUUUGUCCAAUGCAUGCUCGUGCACCAGCCCCAAAAGGAAGAAAUGCUGCACUUUUAUUUGGUUCACUUAUAAAUGGGCACUCUUCAUGCUUCUCAUGUUCCUCAAAUGUGCCUGCAAUUUCAUUUUGAGACAGAUAUUGAAAACAUUAACAAAUAAGUAUCUCAAAGAAAUGCUUUAAAGGAAUGAAAAAUGGAAUAAAUUCCAUUUCCUUUGAAGGGAGAUUGAAGUAUUGGGAGCGAACAUGCAUAAAUUAUAAAAUUGAAGGAGCCAAAAUGCAUGAUAAUGGAGGAGUUCUAUUAAACCUUUGUAAAUAAAUCAAAGCUAUAUCAUCUAAUAUUGCUUUGAUAUACCAGGAAUUAGGAAGCAUCUUACUCAGUAAAACUAUCAGAAAUAAAGCACAAUCCUUCAAACUAUUGGUAAAAGAAAUCAACCCCAUUAUGCCCAAAAGUAAUGCUCAAUCCUUAUUUGAUUUAAACAACUAAUACAGGUGACUGGCAUUGGUUGUUCUCGUCAGGUGCAACAAUUAUUGUAGCAUCAGACAAAUUGGCAAUAGCCUUUUUGUUCAUAGAAAUUCUUAAUAAGAUAAUUCUCAAAUGGUGAAAAAUCUCAGAAGACAAUGAUACAAAAAUGCAACCAACUAAAAGCCACAGAAAUAUUAUACUACCAAGAAGAGCAAAAUAUUGAUGUGUAGAAAAAGGAGAGAGAAAUGAACAUAGCUUUUGACACAAGAAUAAGAUCGUCUUAAACAACAAUAAGCAGCCUCCCACAAGAUUUUAGAAUUUUGGUUCAAGUCUUGGUUUUGAUAAGAGGACUAAAGUAUUGGCUGAAACAUGCUUCGACUGGGAUAGAUCUCAAACUGAUCAAAAAAUUCAGUUUCGGCCACCGGUUUCAACAGUUUCAGAUGAAACCAACUGAAGCUGCCGUUCUUUUACCCCAUUUGUUAACAAGUAUAUGUAUUUAUGUUUAAUAUGUGUUCGAUAUUAUUAAAUCACACGUUCAUCUGAGUCUCUAAUGAUCUUAUCUAUAUAACUUUUGUCUAAGUUAUUAUACUGGAAAGUCAAUGUAUUAAAAAGUGGAUAGAAAGCACAUAACAGCCAGGGGGGCUCCUAGCCAAUAGCGAAUAGCAAGUGCUAUGUACCCAAAGCAGGCUGUUGAAGUAUAUAUAUAUUUUCUUACUAAAUAUCAAAGAUAUCAACUCUACAUCAACUUCAUGUAAAAAAUGAAGAAAAUAAAGAAAAAUUUAAAACAACAUCCACGUAUCAUCGUAAUAUCAUAUCAACAUUUAUAAUUUUGUAUAAUGUAAAGGUACACGAUCUAAUGAGCAAUAUCAUCAUCCACCAAACAUAAUUACAUCACUCAAUAAAGAUGUCUACAAUAUGAUAACAUCAACCAUAGAAGAAAGAUGUCCACAAUCAUACAAAUAAUCCACUUCUCCUUAUCCUCUCUCUCUCUCNNNNNNNNNNNNNNNNNNNNCUCUCUCUCUCUCUCUCUCUCUCUCUCUCUCUCUCUCUCUCUCUCUCCCCCCAUGCUCCAAUUGAACAUGGGUAUGAAAUAACUAAACCAGCCCAUGUUUUAAUCAUCCUAUUGGACUAGCUGAUUGUUGGACCGCUUCAAUUGGAAAGUGGUCCAGUCUGCUAUAAAAUAAAUCACCCACUUCAAACACAGCAUCAUGGCUGCUACAGUGGGUUUCCCACUUCAUACUUGUGCCAUAUGGCACCACCAUGAUAUUUAGCAUAGCCUUCUUCGGCUGAAAGCGCUAUAGCCGCUGUAGCAGCCUAUUUUUAAAACAAUGUGGUCAAUCUGCAAACUUGAUAUAUCUUUACUAAUCAGGCAAGAUAGUUCGUCUUCUUAUUUUUCUUACUUAAAUGAGUUUCUUCCUCCUUUGCUAAAUAAAGUGAAAUAUUAAGAUGAAAUAAUGAAAUAAAAUGGGUUUUUUAUUUGGAUUGGUCCUUUUCUUUUCUUUGUCCAAAUGAAAUAGAGUAAAAUAUACUUAAAUGGGUUUCUUCUUGAUUAGAUGAAUUAAUAAAAUGCAACAAUGUUAAAUAUGCUUAGAUGUUUUUUUCCUCUGAUGAUUUAUAAAAAUGAAAUAGAAUGAAAUAUGCUUAGAGGAAAAGUUUAGUUAAAUUUUUAUGGAAAAUUAUAAAAAACAAAGAAAAGUAUAGAGAAAUUAUAAAAAUUAGAGAAUUGUAAGAAGCAGAGUCGCCGAGUUGGGAAACAAGUGUGAGAGAUCAUAUGAGAAACAAAAGUUGGUGAUUGAUAAGAAAUUAUACAAUUGGGAAAAUUGGUGGCAUCUAUAUAUGAUAAUUAAAAUUAUUCACAUAUUUAGCAUAGGAAAUAAAAAAGAUAUCUUACAAAGAUUAAAAAAAAUAAAAUCUCUACUCGUCGCCUAUGUUCUUUAAAAAGAAAAGAAAUAGGUAGCGAAGAUGAAUCUUUUUCUUCUAUUCUAAUGGGGCCUAGCUUCUAACUUUUUUUAGACAUGGGGUCCAUGUUGUGGUUUAAGGUAUAUUAGUAAUCAUUUUGAACUAAAACAAUUUUAGAUUGACAAAAUUUCUAAUUAAAGGACACUUAGAGCAAAAGUCUAUAUGGAAAGAUCACUCAUGCAAAGAAAAUCUAAAUCGAGGUUUUUUUUUAACUUCCUGUAGGUGGUGGGACUGAUGUGGUCGAGGCAUGUGGGGAAAGAGGACAAAGAGAGUGUGUAUUGGUUAUUUUCAGAAUGCAAAUUCAGCAUUUCUCAAAAUGCGCUUUGCACUCAUUUCUCAGGUUUUUUUUUUUUUUUUGUGGUACUAUAUAUUGAACGUGAGUACACCCAGCCAGAUCACUAGAAAGUAACAAAGACAAAGGAGGAGGAGCAUCUGAAUCAGACGUCCAUGGUAAGAAUAUUACAGAAAAAAAAGUCUAAACAUUUAAAGAAUUAAGCUUUGAUACAGUUUAAUUUCAAUCUGAGAUUACCCAAAAUACAUAUUAUAAUCCUAAAUAACUCAUAACACAAUAAAACGAUGUGAAUUAGCUUGUCUUUAUUUUUUCUCAACUUUUCUUGUUUGGAUCUUUUUAAACUUUUUUUACCAUAAGUCUAGAACUCAAGGUAAAAGUAUCAAAAUUGAAAUUACAAUGGUCAAGAAAAAUAGAGUUUUAUAAGAGAUGUGUAGAUCAUAUGUUAAUGAAUUUAGGGCUGAUUGAGUGACUGGCAGGGGUCGGUAGUCGACUUGUAAAAGUAUUUCAGGUUGCCUAUAUGAAUCUAUGCAGAAAUUCAGUGUGUACCACUAGAAAAAAGACAUAUAUGAGACUAAGUGCAAGUCAUCGAUACACAGAAAAGCACAGCAUAUGGAUAAGUUUAAGAAAAUAACAUAGAAACAAAAAUAGUAUGAAGCAAAAUAAAACAGGUAAAAUGAAAGAGGUUGGCGGAAAGAAAAACUAAAGAGACAGAAAGAAAAACUAGGAGGAAGUAAGAGAUGCAAAUCAGACAUCAAAUCCUUGAUGCCUUUCACAAGAACAGAGAGAAAGAAAACAGUUUAUCAUGCUUCUUGGAGUCUAGCAGAGGACCACAUAUGGCCUUCUCAGGUAAAUAAUAUCUAGAUUUUCCAGACCUCUAUAACGCAAAACUCAGUUUCUCACAGAUUCCUCUACAGAAGACACCUAAUCUACACAAAAUUAAAUCCUAAUGACUUCAGAAAUUUUCGAAUGUUAUAUAUAUAUAUAUAAUCUGAAAAUUACAAUAAACCUAAACUGCACCCAAUAGGCUACCAUUAAAUAAUAAGGUACCAUCAGAUGUAUGUACGCAGUAGUGGUGACACUAGCAGCAUCAAAACCCUAUUCUGCUUUCACCUUACUAGAUGAGUGGAAGUCAUGUUCCAAUAGAAUGAUCUUCCAGUCUAACCACUCAAAGUUGCUUACAUAAAGGGUUGGGGACCAAGUCUGUAUUUUAUUUUUGUAAUUAAACUUUUCCAAGCACCAAGAAAGAACACCAACAAGAUAGCCAUCCUUCAUGCUGCCAACCAUGAAAUUCUCUCAUUCACCAUUGACACCAAUGAGGGAUUUCAGCAAUGCAUGCUAUUUAUAUAUGAAAAAUAUUCUCUACAAAGAUAUCUUGCAUUAUCACAGCAUUGGACAUGGUUAAAGAUUUCUCUAAUUCUUUAACACAAGGUGAAUGCUAGGCAAGGGCACUGUAUUAAGUUCCUUCUUUAGUUAAUACAUACAUGGAAACACUCAAUGAAUUUUAACUUGCAAAUCAUAAUCCCUCUUACAUAUAUGAGAGUGAAACAAGGAGUCUAAUAAGUUCCCCUACUAAUCAAAGAUUUAAAUUCUUACGAAGUAAGUUGUAAUUCAUAAAACUUCAAAGAUGAUACUAAAAAUUUCAAGAAAUCAUUAAAUUCAUCUUUUGAUUAAGAAUUGUCAUUUUAAAUUGGAGUUCAGUAUUUUUCAUACUAAAGGCAUCUCCAUUCUGUGCAAUUUUCAAAUAAGUUGAAGGUGCAUUCCUCUAUAUUUUGGCAGAUACAACAUCAUCCCAAUAAUGAAUUUACUGACAAACAAAUUACCAUGGUAUGGAUAAAUUAAACACUUUUUUAUUAUAUAGAUACUUCGUUCAUGAAUCAUUGAAACUAUAGGUUCCCAUACUUAAUUCAAUUAUUAGUUUGUCAGCCAAUUGGGUAAGCUAUGUUUAGUUUUUAGUAGCAGGAAACUUAUACUUGAUGAAAAAGUAAUGAAACUGCAUAGAUAAUGGGAGUCAAUUUGACCGUAGAGAAUGCCUAGAUUGAUGUACUUCUACUCAUAGUAUAUCUCCUUUUCCCUCAUUUUAAAUGCAUAGAUUUAAUGUAUUUAAUGCCUAGAUAAGCGAGUCAAAAAAGUUCAUUCACAUAUCUCUUGAUGGUGCAUACCUUUAACAAAUCUGUGAUUGUAAGUGUUAAAACAUUAAGAUCAUUGCUCAUACCUCACACUUAAAAGUAAUCAAUGUCCUGUCUAUGCAUGUGGCUAAAAUAACUUGAUUUUGAGAAGAUCUAUGAUGAAAUCAAGGGCCUCAAUCAUUCAACCCAAUUUACAUCAUGAUGAUUUAAGGCCCCAUUCUACUGCUAGGAGAGUCAAUGGCAUGUAUUAGAAUGUUAAACUAUCAAACAACUCAGAUUUACUCAUUUAUUGAGUUUGUAUCUGUAUUUUUUUAGCCAUGGUCAUAAUCUUAGUCAUUCGGUUAUUUGGCCUUAACUUGGACUGGAGUCACUUGACCGCUGAGCAUUUAACUCAUUUGUCUGUCUAAUAUUCUUGAUCUCUUGGUUAUUUGGUACCCGAGUUAUUUUUUUUUCUACUUUAUUUGGUUACUUCAUUUAUAAAAUAGGUUAGGCUAUAUAUAUAGCUAUAGCAAAGCUAAAGGAGUAGUACUAAGUUAUAUGUGACUUUUGGCGGAGAAAGAAGUCUCUUCUCACAUGAGACUUGGAAUUCUACUCUUCACUCAUCUCCUCUCUCUUCUCUCAGCUUCGUUUCUUUCCUCUCUCUUCUUUCCAUGUGAAAUAUUCUCCUUAACCUGCACAAAUCUAAUUUAUUUUUCUGAGAUUUGAUUUGGGAUCUAAAUUCUCUUUAACCUAAAGAGAAAUAUGUUUUCCCUGAAAUUUGAUUUUGGGUCACAAUUGAACCUUCCACUUAAUAAUAAAAUCAUAAUAAUCCUUUUCCCAAUACUAAACCCUAUUCUCUGAACCCCAGGGUGGAGCAGAAAACCUAAAUAUACCCUUUAAUCCACCAAAUAGCUCACUUCAGUCUUGUUUUCUGAGAUUGGACAGGAAGUUCUUAAAAUGAGCAACACCCCUAAAUAUUCUAGCCUGAUGAACGCAUAAGCAAGCCAUUCCUGAGCAAUCCUGCAUGGAAAAUUUAGAAAGAGCCAACAAGUUCUAAGAUCUAGGCCAAUAUAUAUCAAGAUAUCAAAAUAUCAGAUGAAGAAUUAAAAAAAAAUUGAGAUUCAUUGAUGUUUCAAGGCACUGCUUUUAAUGUAUUGGCCAAUCUCUAGGGAUAUACAGAUUUUUAUUGACCGAGUUUAUAGGGCCAAGAUUUUAUUUAUCAAAUUAUUAGUGUCCCAUACCAAAAAAACUGGCAUCCUUAAACUUAAGAAAAAAAGAAAAACAAUGAACGCUCAUGCACACAGAUAUGUUUAUGUGCAUGUGUAUGUUUACAUUGUGUAAGUAAGUAUCAAAAUAUUUUCGAUUUCACUGAUAUAUGCACACAGAUAUCAAAAUAUUUUCGAUUUCACUGAUAUAUGUAUCUAUGUAUGUAUGUGUAGUACAUAUAUAUCUGCAAGUGCAAUCAAAGGGUCUGAGAAGGUGAGUCAAUAGCAAUCAAAGUUUCUAAGAUAAUGAGUUGCCGAUUUGAUGGUAAAGCUUCACAAAGAGUGGAACAGCAAGUCCAGAUAGGCUUAGUAGCAAAACUAGCAUGCAAUUUCAGCGCAAACUUUUCCUUACAAUUUAGGAAGAGAAAAGUCAGCAGUUAAAUUAGAAAAGAAAUUUGCUUUAAUGAAAAAAAAAAAAACUACUUCCUUUAGGACCAAAAAUUAGUUAUACUUUUUACCUUGGAGUAUAUUGAUAGAAGGACAACAUCAGAAACAAUAGUACUGGCAAGAACUACCUUUUGAAUCUGUUGCCUUAGUACUAUGAAGACUAAUAUAUCAAUAGAAGGGCAAAGUUAGAAAUAACACAUUGGAGUAAUAACUAGCAAGAACUGCCUUCUAUAUGUACUGUCAUCAUACUAUGAAGACACCCAUUUUGUUCAUAUAGAGAUGCUCGAAAUAGAGAAUCAGAAGUAAUUCUGGUAGCUGCAGUUAAAUGAGCUCCAUAGUAUCAAAGAAAAGACCAGAACUCAAGCUUUAAGGAACUUUAAAAGAUAACUCACUUGAUAUGUUCACAUCAGAAGUACAAAAUUCCCUUAGGGAAUCAAGAACAAUCUUCAGGAUACAAGAAGCAAACACCAGUUUAGAUGCAUUUAUAGUUUCCAUACCGCUUCCCUCGAUAAAAAUUACAUUUAUUUUAAGGAACGAUCUUAGCAAAUAAGCUAAUAAAAGCUAAUGUGAUAUCAGUACAUUAAAUUCAUGUUAACAUAUAUGCCUAUGGCAUGAAAGACUACAUAAUAACAACCACCAUGAGAAAGAUUAUAUUAUUGCAAAUGUUAAAGGGCAAAGAAAAAUGAAUCACAAAAAGAUACAAUGCAAGCACAACUAGGGAGGAAAGAGGAGCGAGGGGGUGGGAGGGGGGGAGGAAGAGGGCUACCUCCAUGGUCAAUAGCCUUCGACAAGAAACGAUGUGGAUUAAAGUGGCUGGCAUCCUUACCCCAUAUAGAGUCAUCCAUCUGCAGCAGCUGUAAAGGAACAACGAGCAUUGCUCCCGCCGGUAAAGUUAUACUAGAAUUAAGAAUCAAGUCUGUAAACAAGGAGGACAAAAUUACACACAUGACAGGGUCACCAUACAAGGGGCAAGUAAUAAUAGCAUUAAACUCAUGCAGCACUCUUUCUGCUAGUGUCAGUCAGAUAUAAACUAUUAAAGAACUUAAAGCAGCAAAAUAUUGAUGAAAAAGAAUAAAACCACAGAGAAAAGUUAACAACCAAGAAGCAAAUAUUCAAAUGCAGAACUUAGCACCUGGUCCUUUGUUUGACUGCCAUUUUAUGUUUAGUCCUGAUACAAUUAGCAUUUUCCAUUUAGUCCCUUGAAUAUAGUUAGACGUCUUUCCACACAGUUAUGCCUGUGUUUGUAUAUAACUGCUGUGUACACACUUAUGCAGGGACCAGGGAUUAACCACAAAAUGGCCAUCUAAAUAGAGACCAGGAAUUAAAACUUCCAUCAAGGAGGCCUAAAUAUAAAAUGGCAGUCAAUCUAGGAAGUGGGCCUCAAUUUCCCCGAUCCAAAUACACACAUUUUAAUUUGUGGUUAGAAGAUUAAAGCUUCCCGAGGCCUUUUGGCUGUACUUAACAUUUGCAUGCCAUGAUCAUAAAGCUGCACAGCAUAUUUGUAAAACAAUCCAGCAUGAUGAAAUCAGACAACAUUAUUGCACUAAACUUUGAUUCAACCUCCAGAUGUCUUGGACUCAGCACAUAUGUGUGCACUGCAUAACUCCGGAUAGAAAAUCAGAAGCCAAAUCCCAUAAAAUUAAAAUUCUGGUAAGACUACAAAUUUAGUUACAGGGAGCAUAUAACUACUCCAGCUUUCCAUGAGGAUUAACUGUCAUUACCAUUUAAAAUAGAAAUCUGAUUAUUGAAAGACCAUGACAAAGGCACCAAUUUAUAGUAAUGAAUUUUGAGAAUACUAAAAACAGAUUAAACAAGCAUUUAAAACUCACAUAAGAAAUCUUACUCUAAGUGAAGGUACAUUUUGAUAACAGACUGUAUCCUCAUGAAGGAAAUAAAAUCUUUUCAGGAUGUGAGCUCUUCGACUUAUAAAUAUGAAUGUCUACUGGUCUUAUGAAUUAAAAAACAUAAAAAAAGAUGUGCAAUCAUGCAUUGUAUAUUAUUCAGGAUGAGUCUCUCUCUGAAGUUGAAGUUGAGGAUAGCUAUGUCUCCCAAAUUGCUUCUUGGGCAGCUAGGCUGCCCUCGGACACACUUGAGAACCCAUUCUCGUAUAGGCAGGCUAGACCCGCCAAGGCAAACUUUGUGUCAAGUGAUUAUAUUUUUAGGCAGAAUGUCACAUCACCACCUAUAGAUAUUAUUAUAUCUAAAAUUACUCUAAAGGAUACUAAUGUAUGCAAUGAUUUAAACAUAUUAUAAAUAUGAGAUUACAAGCUCAAGUUAUAGUUAUAGAAGAUUAAUUAAGAUUAAUGUGUUAUCGCUGAUGAAAGUUGUAGCUCAUACUUUUUUUAUGAAAGAAAAUUACAACUCAUGUUGUAAAUAAUAUCCUGCAUAACUCGGUAAAUGACAAUAGCUUUCUCACUGCCAUCCAAAAGAAAAGUUAAAGCUCAUAAUAGUUUUUUUUUUUUUUUUAACUGCUAGGCAAAGAGGACAAGAAGAGAAAAAUGGUAAGACAACAAAAAAUUAGUUAAUGACAAGAAGAAAGAUCAUGGAAGGCACUCUCAAAUAAAAAGUGCACAUCCCCCAGGAUGGAUAAGAGCAAAAGUGCAAAAUAAACUUCAUGGAUAUCUAUGUUCCAUGAACUACAGGGACAGACCGAUGCUGAAAAGGCUGAAGAUGGCAGAAAGUGCCAUUCAACCAAGAGUCAAUCUAUAAUAGUUGUUAGCUAUUGAAGUUGUUGGCCAUUUUAUGAAGAAUAGAAAAAUAAUAGUGCCAAAAUAUUAUGUGAAGUGGCUGGUGCAUGUUUUUUCUUUCUUCUUUUUGGUUGGCUAUCUGCUUUUUUUGAAUUUACUACUUUUGAGCAUGUUAGAAGAUUUAUUUCCAUCAUUAUAAACAUAUAAUAGGAAUUAUUAUAAAAGCUCAUUUAAGUUAUGUAAGUAAAGAUUCAUAACAUGAUCGGCGAAACCGUUCCGAACUAUCCGGUCGGAGCAUACCGAGCCGUACCGGCGGCAGACCAGAACGGUUUCGGUAAACAAAACGAGAAACCGACGACGGAGGGGGAGAAGGAUAAGGAAAGAGAGAAAAAGAGAGAGAGCAGGGAAGCCCCNNNNNNNNNNNNNNNNNNNNNNNNNNNNNNNNNNNNNNNNNNNNNNNNNNNNNNNNNNNNNNNNNNNNNNNNNNNNNNNNNNNNNNNNNNNNNNNNNNNNNNNNNNNNNNNNNNNNNNNNNNNNNNNNNNNNNNNNNNNNNNNNNNNNNNNNNNCCAUGGUCAAUAGCCUUCGACAAGAAACGAUGUGGAUUAAAGUGGCUGGCAUCCUUACCCCAUAUAGAGUCAUCCAUCUGCAGCAGCUGUAAAGGAACAACGAGCAUUGCUCCCGCCGGUAAAGUUAUACUAGAAUUAAGAAUCAAGUUCCUCCUCUCUCUCUCUCUCUCUCUCUCUCUCUCUCUCUCUCUCUUUUCCUCUCUCCCGUUCUCCCUCUCUCCUGCCCCCUUUACUGUGUCGGUACAGGUCCGACACAGAACGGCACAAGGCUAUACCGACCCGUGCCGCCGGGCAACUGGUUCGAGCCCUAGUUCCAGCACAGCAACCCUUGAUUCACAAGGAAUUUUAAAGUUAAGGUUCCUAAUAGCGAAGUGGCCACUUAAGCACAUUGUCAAGGGCGUUAAUGCCUAGUAUAGGCAACGCAUUUACCUACUACCCUGAUAGACACCCUUAUUCUGUGUAGAAAGCAAAUAUAUAUAUAUGUAACAUAAAAUGCAGCCAUAAAUAUAAUGUCCACAAAUUCAUGUAGCAUACUGAUAUGUUCCACAUGAUUUGCAUUGCAUUUACAUAAAGAUUCAAAAACUUAUUUUUGUAGGAUGCAUGUUUAUAAGACUGCCAUCAUCCCUAAUUGAAUAUAGCUUCUAUCAACAAAAUCAUGAUACAUAAGUUGUAGACUUUAACUGAAUAAAGGUUUAGAAAAAAGAAUAAAAAAAAGAAUGUGCAAAAUCAUUUGAAUUGUGAAGUAACCAAUUAUCUGGUUAUUAUAUGAAUGUUUCAAGGUGAUGAAUCAACGCUACCAUGUUUCAAUGAGCAUCUUUGAAGCAAAGGUCCAGCUGGCAAAAGACGAGCUGAUUCAUAAACAGUAGCCAAUAAGAAAUGCAUCUUUUGCACCUCAAGUGAAUCUGGCCCAGAAGUUCUUCCCCACACUCGAACGAUCUCUGAAUAUGACUGCAGUAUAAGAGAAUGAUAAGAUAACAUACACUAUAGUUUAACAAGCAUUAUUUUGAUACAAAUGUUUGAAUAUUACAACUCCAGACAUCAACACAUUAAUUCAUUAGAGAGGCCUACCAUAUUUAACUUGCUUCCCAAUGUUUGAACGAUUCAAUAAACAAAAGUCACGAAGAUUAACAACACAAAGAAGCAUAACCUAAAAGGAGCUUUAUCAUCAAGAAAAUGAAAACUACUGAAGUACUAAAAAUAUCAUUACUUGUUUACAAUCAAUAUGGAGAAGGAUCAAAGUCACCUUACAAUUGAAACAAAGCCAGUGAGAAGAUCAGACAUUACAAGAUUUAAGCAGACUUUUGAUUGUAAAAGCCAUGUAAAUUAAAAGGAAAAGAAAUGAGGUUGCUAUUAAAGAAAAGAAAAUUAGCAGAGUCCAGAGAAAAAGGAGAAAAGCUUAAGACCUUAAAGAAGCUGUCCCAGUAAUUCAGGUGCUUUAUAAGAUCAAUCUAUUGAUAAGAAUUUCACAGUAAGAGGCACCUAGAAGUGAAAUAGGAAGUGGACUCAGCAUUUCAUCUUAGGGUCAUCAUUUGAACCUUAGAAACUUGGACCAAAAAUGAAUACCAGAAUUGGAUAAAAAGGGGCAUGAGAACAACAAUCUUUUCAGCAGAUGAUUGUACAAACUGCACAGAAAUGAUAGUGGAAGCAGAAGCAGAUUUGCAUGUUCUGAAUUAAUUAUCGGCAACAAUACUCAGAACCAUGUUUUGCUUACCAGGUCUAUCUUAUUAUUUAAGAUUAUAAUUCAAUCCAUUAUAUAGCUUUCAGGUGACAAGGUUAGAAGAAAAGCCAUAAAAAAAUCAAGAGGAGCAAAUAAUUUGCAAGAGAUAAGAAAGAAAAGACAUCUCUACUUUUUCUUGUAGUUCCGGGUUCAAGACUAGCCAUGUUAAAAUGCUAUGGAUCAAGCUAGCAGUUGCUAAACAUCCGUGGAACAUCAAAC
rnacentral:lncRNA from 1 species